UGAACGCUAGCGACAGGCUUAACACAUGCAAGUCGAGGGGCAGCACAGGUAGCAAUACCGGGUGGCGACCGGCGCACGGGUGAAUAACGCGUAUGCAACUUGCCUAUCAGAGGGGGAUAACCCGGCGAAAGUCGGACUAAUACCGCAUGAAGCAGGGAUCCCGCAUGGGAAUAUUUGCUAAAGAUUCAUCGCUGAUAGAUAGGCAUGCGUUCCAUUAGGCAGUUGGCGGGGUAACGGCCCACCAAACCGACGAUGGAUAGGGGUUCUGAGAGGAAGGUCCCCCACAUUGGUACUGAGACACGGACCAAACUCCUACGGGAGGCAGCAGUGAGGAAUAUUGGUCAAUGGGCGUAAGCCUGAACCAGCCAAGUCGCGUGAGGGAUGAAGGUUCUAUGGAUCGUAAACCUCUUUUAUAAGGGAAUAAAGUGCGGGACGUGUCCCGUUUUGUAUGUACCUUAUGAAUAAGGAUCGGCUAACUCCGUGCCAGCAGCCGCGGUAAUACGGAGGAUCCGAGCGUUAUCCGGAUUUAUUGGGUUUAAAGGGUGCGUAGGCGGCCUUUUAAGUCAGCGGUGAAAGUCUGUGGCUCAACCAUAGAAUUGCCGUUGAAACUGGGGGGCUUGAGUAUGUUUGAGGCAGGCGGAAUGCGUGGUGUAGCGGUGAAAUGCAUAGAUAUCACGCAGAACCCCGAUUGCGAAGGCAGCCUGCCAAGCCAUUACUGACGCUGAUGCACGAAAGCGUGGGGAUCAAACAGGAUUAGAUACCCUGGUAGUCCACGCAGUAAACGAUGAUCACUAGCUGUUUGCGAUACACUGUAAGCGGCACAGCGAAAGCGUUAAGUGAUCCACCUGGGGAGUACGCCGGCAACGGUGAAACUCAAAGCAAUUGACGGGGGCCCGCACAAGCGGAGGAACAUGUGGUUUAAUUCGAUGAUACGCGAGGAACCUUACCCGGGUUUGAACGCAUUCGGACCGAGGUGGAAACACCUUUUCUAGCAAUAGCCGUUUGCGAGGUGCUGCAUGGUUGUCGUCAGCUCGUGCCGUGAGGUGUCGGCUUAAGUGCCAUAACGAGCGCAACCCUUGCCACUAGUUACUAACAGGUAAAGCUGAGGACUCUGGUGGGACUGCCAGCGUAAGCUGCGAGGAAGGCGGGGAUGACGUCAAAUCAGCACGGCCCUUACAUCCGGGGCGACACACGUGUUACAAUGGCGUGGACAAAGAGAAGCCACCUGGCGACAGGGAGCGAAUCCCCAAACCACGUCUCAGUUCGGAUCGGAGUCUGCAACCCGACUCCGUGAAGCUGGAUUCGCUAGUAAUCGCGCAUCAGCCAUGGCGCGGUGAAUACGUUCCCGGGCCUUGUACACACCGCCCGUCAAGCCAUGGGAGCCGGGGGUACCUGAAGUCCGUAACCGCGAGGAUCGGCCUAGGGUAAAACUGGUGACUGGGGCUAAGU
rnacentral:rRNA from 1 species